UACGUAGGUGGCAAGCGUUACUCGGAAUUACUAGGCGUAAAGCGCAGGUAGGUGGUUUGAUAAGUCCGUAAUGAAAUCUCCCGGCUUAACUGGGAGGGGUUUAGGGAUACUGUCAGGCUUGAGUGUGGGAGAGGUAACUGGAAUUCCUGGUGUAGCGGUGAAAUGCGUAGAGAUCAGGAGGAACACCUAUGGCGAAAGCAGGUUACUGGCCCAAUACUGACACUGAGCUGCGAAAGCUAGGGGAGCAAACAGG
rnacentral:rRNA from 1 species